CACCGGCAGCUCUAGUGGUAGCAAUUUUUAUUGGGCCUAAAGCGUCCGUAGCCGGUUUAAUAAGUCUCUGGCGAAAUCCUGUAGCUUAACUGUGGGAAUUGCUGGAGAUACUAUUAGACUUGAGAUCGAGAGGUUAGAGGUACUCCCAGGGUAGAGGUGAGAUUCUGUAAUCCUGGGAGGACCGCCUGUUGCGAAGGCGUCUAACUGGAACGAUUCUGACGGUGAGGGACGAAAGUUAGGGGCGCGAACC
rnacentral:rRNA from 1 species